GGGAAUCUUCCACAAUGGGCGAAAGCCUGAUGGAGCAACGCCGCGUGAGUGAAGAAGGUCUUCGGAUUGUAAAGCUCUGUCCUUAGGGAAGAACCGUGGGUAUAGUAAAUGCUACCCACCUGACGGUACCUUUGGAGGAAGCACUGGCUAACUACGUGCCAGCAGCCGCGGUAAUACGUAGAGUGCAAGCGUUGUCCGGAAUUAUUGGGCGUAAAGGGUACGCAGGCGGAUAAUCAAGUCAAGCGUGAAAGGUGUCGGCUUAACCGACAGACUGCGUUUGAAACUGGUUAUCUUGAGUGUAACAGAGGAGAGUGGAAUUCCUAGUGUAGUGGUGAAAUACGUAGAUAUUAGGAAGAACACCAGUGGCGAAGGCGACUCUCUGGGUUAACACUGACGCCGAGGUACGAAAGCUGGGGGAGC
rnacentral:rRNA from 1 species